GAAGGUCUGUCCCGACAGCUGGCUGAAGAAGUUGGGGCGGUGCCUGGAGCUGCUGGCGUCGCUGCUUCGACCCAGGGAACCAUGGGAAGCUGUCAGAGGCUCUGUGCUGCUGCUGCUGCCUAUACGACUGGGCAGGUCUCCCAGGAUUUGCACCAGAGCAGGGAAGGUUGGUCUCUCUUUGGGCUCACCCUGCCAGCAGGCCAGCAUGAUGCCAUAUCUACCAGCAGAGGGCAGCACCAUCACAACAAGGACAACACUGAGGGGAGGCGGUCUCCGGUGCUCUCAUCCUAACGCCGUCUUUCAGUCGUUUGCAGAAGUCCUCGUCAAUCUGUACCCCUGGGUACGGAGACGCACCUGAGGGUAGAGAAAAGGAAGAUGAGUGAGAAGAUUUCCCAGAGGAGAACUCCAAAAGACCACACGUCACUCUGGCUGGUGUACACUUUGUCAAAGAUACUCUCUGGAGCCAUCCACUUUAAAGGCAGGCGAGCCUGGUAGAGUAUUGAAACGCCAGACACAUCUUACAUGAUUGUUACAUGAACAGAGAUGACACACAAAAAAAAAUAGAGUUAAAGGUUUUCCUGCAGUAAAGGGAGAUGGAUAAUAAACCUGGGAGCUUAACUCUAAAGUGUAGUGAGUGUGAGGAUGCCGUACAUUGCCUUUCCUGACGUAGUCGGGGUCUUUGUAUAUGUCUCUGGCCAGGCCAAAGUCACAGAUCUUCACGAUGUUGUUCUCUGACAGGAGAAUGUUCCGGGCUGCCAAGUCUCUGUGGAUACACUGCGGAUACACACACGACCACACAUACAUCAUAACACUACAGAGAGACGUGUGUGCAUGUGUGUGUGCUUGUAUUCAUUUUUUUCACCUUCUUUUCUCUGAUGAGUGAAUUACAGAUAUUAUCUGGAGUAAGUAAAUAGCAACUUUGGCUCUUUUAAUAAUCCAUUGUCUUAAAAUCUGUGAGCGUGUGUGUGUUUGUGUGUGUGCCUGUGUGUGUGUCCCUGUGCCAGUUUGUGACUGGGACUGGACUAUGUCUCAGCCAGGCUGAGCUCCGUGGAAUCGCUGCAGGAGAUCCAACAUCCUUCACAAAGCUGUCGGGACUCUGACUGGACGCGUUGGAUGACGGACUCUGAGGACUGGUGAGCGGGGAGGACGACGGAGAAGGUGGGUGACGGGCUCUUUGGUCCAUUUGACCCGCUUCGAUCAUCCGUCUCAC